GAUGAACGCUGGCGGCAGGCCUAAUACAUGCAAGUCAAGGGGCCCCGCCUUUGGGCGGGGCACCGGCGGACGGGUGAGCAGCGCGUACACAACGUGCCCCUGACCGGGGGACAGCGGCGGGAAACUGCCGGUAACACCCCAUGGCGCCGCGGGGCGGCAUUGCCCGGCGGCGAAAGUUUCGGCGGUCGGGGAUCGGUGUGCGUCCGAUUAGGUAGUUGGCGGGGUGACGGCCCACCAAGCCUGCGAUCGGAGGGGGUGUGAGAGCACGGCCCCCCACAU
rnacentral:rRNA from 1 species